UCAAGCUACUAAGGGCGUACGGUGGAUGCCUAGGCGCUAAGAGUCGAAGAAGGACGCGGCGAGCGGCGAAACGCCACGGGGAGCAGUAAGCAUGCCUUGAUCCGUGGAUAUCCGAAUGGGGCAACCCAUCCAGAGUCAUAUCUGGAUAUCGUUAACUGAAUUCAUAGGUUAACGAAGACAACCCGGGGAACUGAAACAUCUAAGUACCCGGAGGAAGAGAAAGAAUCAUCGAUUCCCUGAGUAGCGGCGAGCGAAACGGGAGCAGCCCAAACCAAUCCCUUCGGGGGUUGGGGUUGUAGGACCUUCUAUUAGGUCUGAAACUCUAGUCGAAGAGGUCUGGAAAGGCCCGGCAAAGCAGGUAACACCCCUGUAGGCGAAAGAGAGACAGACUGUGAAGGGAUCCUGAGUACCGCGGGACACGUGAAACCCCGUGGGAAGCAGGGAGGACCACCUCCCAAGGCUAAAUACUUCUUAGCGACCGAUAGCGAACCAGUACCGUGAGGGAAAGGUGAAAAGCACCCCGGGAGGGGAGUGAAAGAGAACCUGAAACCGUACGCUUACAAGCAGUCAAAGCACCUUUAAGGUGUGAUGGCGUGCCUUUUGUAGAAUGAACCGGCGAGUUACGGUAUGUAGCGAGGUUAAGACGAGAAGUCGGAGCCGAAGCGAAAGCGAGUCUGAAAAGGGCGUUAAGUUACAUGCUGUAGACCCGAAACCGUGUGAUCUACCCAUGGACAGGGUGAAGGUGGGGUAAAACCCACUGGAGGCCCGAACUCACUGUCGUUGAAAAGGCAGGGGAUGAGCUGUGGGUAGGGGAGAAAUUCCAAUCGAACACGGAGAUAGCUGGUUCUCCCCGAAAUAGCUUUAGGGCUAGCCUCAAUGGAUGAUUCUUGGCGGUAAAGCACUGAAUAGGCUAGGGGCCUUACCGGGUUACCGAACCUUAUCAAACUCAGAAUGCCAAGAAUUUUAGAUUGGGAGUCAGACUGUGGGGGAUAAGCUUCAUAGUCAAAAGGGAAACAGCCCAGACCAUCAGCUAAGGUCCCCAAGUAUACGCUAAGUGGAAAAGGAUGUGGAAUUGCAUAGACAACCAGGAUGUUGGCUUAGAAGCAGCCACCAUUUAAAGAGUGCGUAAUAGCUCACUGGUCGAGUGGUUCUGCGCCGAAAAUGUAACGGGGCUCAAGCGUAUCACCGAAGCUAUGGCUUGCACACGAUGUGUGCAGGGGUAGGGGAGCGUUCCAUCAGCGGCGAAGUCAGACUGUGAGGUCUGGUGGAGUGGAUGGAAGUGAGAAUGCCGGUAUGAGUAUGCGAAAAGGUGAGUGAGAAUCUCACCCGCCGAAAACCUAAGGAUUCCUGGGGAAGGCUCGUCCGCCCAGGGUAAGUCGGGACCUAAGCCGAGGCGAAAAGCGUAGGCGAUGGACAACUGGUUGAGAUUCCAGUACCACUCAGGAGCGUUUGAGCGAUGGGGUGACACAGAAGGAUAGGUUAAGCGUGCCGUUGGUCGAGCACGCCCAAGCCCGUAGGAAGUGAGACAGGCAAAUCCGUCUCGCGAGAAUUCUGAAAGGUGAUGGGGAGCGAAAUGAGUAGCGAAGUAACCGACUCCAGGCUGUCAAGAAAAGCCUCUAGUGAGUGAAUGAGUGCCCGUACCGUAAACCGACACAGGUAGGUAAGGAGAGAAUCCUAAGGCGCGCGAGAAAACCCUCGUUAAGGAACUCGGCAAAAUGACCCCGUAACUUCGGGAGAAGGGGUGCUCUAUGCAAGUAGAGCCGCAGAGAAGAGGUCCAGGCGACUGUUUAUCAAAAACACAGGUUCCUGCCAAUCUGAAAAGAGAAGUAUAGGAGCUGACGCCUGCCCGGUGCUGGAAGGUUAAGAGGAGAGGUUAGCCGCAAGGCGAAGCUUUGAAUUGAAGCCCCAGUAAACGGCGGCCGUAACUAUAACGGUCCUAAGGUAGCGAAAUUCCUUGUCAGGUAAGUUCUGACCCGCACGAAAGGCGUAACGAUCUGGACACUGUCUCAACGAGGGACUCGGCGAAAUUGUAAUACCCGUGAAGAUGCGGGUUACCUGCGACAGGACAGAAAGACCCCAUGGAGCUUUACUGUAGCUUGACAUUGGACUUUGGUAUAAAAUGUACAGGAUAGGUGGGAGACUAAGAAGCUAGGGCGCCAGCCUUGGUGG
rnacentral:rRNA from 1 species